rnacentral:rRNA from 1 species
UACAGAGGGUGCAAGCGUUAAUUGGAAUUACUGGGCGUAAAGCGUGCGUAGACGGUAGCGUAAGUCGGGUGUGAAAGCCCCGGGCUCAACCUGGGAAUUGCAUUCGAGACUGCUCUGCUAGGGUGCGGAAGAGGGGAGCGGAAUUUCCGGUGUAGCGGUGAAAUGCGUAGAUAUCGGAAGGAACACCAGUGGCGAAAGCGGCUCCCUGGUCCAGCACCGACGUUCAGGCACGAAAGCGUGGGGAGCAAACAGG